rnacentral:rRNA from 1 species
AGCGAACGCUGGCGGCAGGCCUAACACAUGCAAGUCGAACGAAGUCUUCGGACUUAGUGGCGGACGGGUGAGUAACACGUGGGAACGUGCCUUUAGGUUCGGAAUAACUCAGGGAAACUUGUGCUAAUACCGAAUGUGCCCUUCGGGGGAAAGAUUUAUCGCCUUUAGAGCGGCCCGCGUCUGAUUAGCUAGUUGGCGAGGUAAAGGCUCACCAAGGCUACGAUCAGUAGCUGGUCUGAGAGGAUGAACGGCCACAUUGGGACUGAGACACGGCCCAAACUCCUACGGGAGGCAGCAGUGGGGAAUCUUGCGCAAUGGGCGAAAGCCUGACGCAGCCAUGCCGCGUGGAUGAUGAAGGUCUUAGGAUUGUAAAAUCCUUUCACCGGUGAAGAUAAUGACUGUAGCCGGAGAAGAAGCCCCGGCUAACUUCGUGCCAGCCGCCGCAGUAAGAC